GUGACGUGAAAUUUCCUGGGACCAGAAAGUGUGCCCCGAAUAGAGAGAACAUCACAGGUCACAGAUGGAAGACUCUGGAAGUUCCAGUUUCAGCGAGAUGUAAUUGACACACAGCCCCGCACAAGUUGAAGGAAGACAGCGUCAUGACUUGACGUACACGUAGUGUGAAGCGCACGACCUUUCAGAGCAGGUAAGAAGCUUAGAAAACAGGAGCCGAGAAAAUAAACAGCAAAUUAAGG
rnacentral:lncRNA from 1 species